rnacentral:rRNA from 1 species
AUUGAACGCUGGCGGCAGGCUUAACACAUGCAAGUCGAGCGGAGAUGAGGUGCUUGCACCUUAUCUUAGCGGCGGACGGGUGAGUAAUGCUUAGGAAUCUGCCUAUUAGUGGGGGACAACAUUCCGAAAGGAAUGCUAAUACCGCAUACGUCCUACGGGAGAAAGCAGGGGAUCUUCGGACCUUGCGCUAAUAGAUGAGCCUAAGUCGGAUUAGCUAGUUGGUGGGGUACAGGCCUACCAAGGCGACGAUCUGUAGCGGGUCUGAGAGGCUGAUCCGCCACACUGGGACUGAGACACGGCCCAGACUCCUACGUGAGGCAGCAGUGGGGAAUAUUGGACAAUGGGGGGAACCCUGAUCCAGCCAUGCCGCGUGUGUGAAGAAGGCCUUAUGGUUGUAAAGCACUUUAAGCGAGGAGGAGGCUACUGAGACUAAUACUCUUGGAUAGUGGACGUUACUCGCAGAAUAAGCACCGGCUAACUCUGUGCCAGCCGCCGCAGUAACAC